CAAUGCGAUACCUAGUGCGAAUUGCAGAAUUCAGUGAAUCAUCGAGUCUUUGAACGCAAAUGGCGUUCUCGGGGUCUUCCCGAGAGCACGUCUGCCUGAGUGCCCGUUUCCUGUGGCCGCUGCAGUUGCCUGCAGUGGCGAGUUGAAGCGUCGCCCUGCCCAGUCGGGUGGGGCGUCCUUUGAAAGAGGGCAACUGCUGCAAGGUCCGCAUGGUGGGCUUGCGCACGCGACUGAGCCACUGUCGACGUGUCCUGCCCCCCCCCCCGGUCGGCGUGUCCUUGUGGAUUGAAGCGACGGAUGACGUGGCACCACCAAUGUGGGCCUCAGGUCAGAUGAGGCGACCCGCUGAAUUUAAGCAUAUUAAUAA
rnacentral:rRNA from 1 species